GGACCCGCACAAGUAGUGGAGCAUGUGGUUUAAUUCGAAGAUACGCGCAGAACCUUACCAACACUUGACAUGUUCGUCGCGACUCUAAGAGAUUAGAGUUUUCGGUUCGGCCGGACGAAACACAGGUGCUGCAUGGCUGUCGUCAGCUCGUGUCGUGAGAUGUUGGGUUAAGUCCCGCAACGAGCGCAACCCUCACUUUUAGUUGCCAUCAUUUAGUUGGGCACUCUGAAAGAACUGCCAGUGAUAAGCUGGAGGAAGGUGGGGAUGACGUCAAGUCCUCAUGGCCCUUACGUGUUGGGCUACACACGUGCUACAAUGGUAUUUACAACAGGAAGCAAGACGGCGACGUUAAG
rnacentral:rRNA from 1 species